GAUGAACGCUGGCGGCGUGCCUAAUACAUGCAAGUCGAGCGAACAGAUGAGGAGCUUGCUCCUCUGACGUUAGCGGCGGACGGGUGAGUAACACGUGGAUAACCUACCUAUAAGACUGGGAUAACUUCGGGAAACCGGAGCUAAUACCGGAUAAUAUAUUGAACCGCAUGGUUCAAUAGUGAAAGACGGUUUUGCUGUCACUUAUAGAUGGAUCCGCGCCGCAUUAGCUAGUUGGUAAGGUAACGGCUUACCAAGGCAACGAUGGGUAGCCGACCUGAGAGGGUGAACCGCCACACUGGAACUGAGACACGGUCCAGACUCCGAGGGGAGGCAGAAGUAGGGAAGCUUCCGAGAUGGGGGAAAGACUGACGGAGCAACGCCGCGUGAGUGAUGAAGGUCUUCGGAUCGUAAAACGCUGUUAUUAGGGAAGAACAAAUGUGUAAGUAACUAUGCACGUCUUGACGGUACCUAAUCAGAAAGCCACGGCUAACUACGUG
rnacentral:rRNA from 1 species